GGGGGCGUAGCUCAGCUGGGAGAGCGUCGCGUUCGCAAUGCGAAGGUCAGGGGUUCGAUCCCCCUCGCCUCCACCA
rnacentral:tRNA from 1 species